rnacentral:rRNA from 1 species
AUGGUGAUGGCGGAGCCGGAGGAGACCCCGAGAUCCCAGAGGCCGUUGGCGGGCGGUUGCGCCGUGGCCGGCGAUCCGUCCCAGCCCGCGGCGGCGACACCUCGGCGGCUGACGGUGUGGUGCAAGUCGCUGGUGUUCCGCGGCGACGGGUACACGGUGUUCGACGACGCGGACGGACGGAUGGUGUUCCGCGUGGACAACUACGGCGUCGGGCCGGGAAGCAUGGCGCUCAUGGACCACGCCGGCCGCGUCCUCCUCACCGUCCGCCGCCGCCAACGCAAGAUGCUGAGCUUGAUGCCGGAGACAUGGGAGGUGUACAAUGGCGACGUCGACGACGACUCGAACUCGAACGACGGCCACGGUGAGCCGCACCUCAUGAUGAGAGCCACCAAGGACCUGGGCAGGUCCAACUGCACCGCCUCUGUGCAUGCCGUGGACGAGCCACAACUCUACCGCUUGAGCUGGUCCCGGCGGGAGGAGUUUUCGAGGAUCUACCGGCACAGCUCGACCGGCGACGAGACGCUCAUCGCCGAGGUGCGGCGGAAACGAGGGGGUCCAGAGAAGGCAACAUUGCUGGGCAAGGACGUGCUCUCGCUGGUGGUGCAGCCGGGGAUGGACCUUGCCAUCACCAUGGCCAUGCUCAUGAUCUCCAAUUCGUACCGAUGA